rnacentral:rRNA from 1 species
GACGAACGCUGGCGGCGUGCUUAACACAUGCAAGUCGAACGGAAAGGCCCUGCUUUUGUGGGGUGCUCGAGUGGCGAACGGGUGAGUAACACGUGAGUAACCUGCCCUUGACUUUGGGAUAACUUCAGGAAACUGGGGCUAAUACCGGAUAGGAGCUCCUGCUGCAUGGUGGGGGUUGGAAAGUUUCGGCGGUUGGGGAUGGACUCGCGGCUUAUCAGCUUGUUGGUGGGGUAGUGGCUUACCAAGGCUUUGACGGGUAGCCGGCCUGAGAGGGUGACCGGCGACAUGGGGACUGAGAGACGGCGCAGACGCAUACGGGAGGCAGCAGGGGGGAGUAUUGCACAAUGGGGGGAAGCCUGAUGCAGAAACGCCGCGUGCGGGAUGACGGCCUUCGGGUUGUAAACAGAUGUCGACUGUGACGAAGCGUGAGUGACGGUAAUGGGUAAAGAAGCAACGGCUAACUACGUG